rnacentral:lncRNA from 1 species
UCUUUAAUCUCAUGUCAAAACCCUCUUUUAGUUAUGUCUCCUUACCAAUAGUUAAAGAAACUCUAGUCUAACACUAGAGGGAAUCAACUAACUAAAAGAGAUUAAGAAGUAAUAAGAAUUACAAACCGAUUUGCACAAAUUCCUACAAAUUACACAUACUAAGAGGGAGAGAUAGAUUAAUGACCAACGUGACAAGGUCCAAUUGAAACAGUAAUUAAAACACAUUCCCAAGGUUCAAACAAUUUGAAUUUAGCGCCUUAUCUCAUAGCUCAAUUAUCGUUUAAGGCAUAAGUCCAUAGUCACCCAUUUUUCUAACUACUUAAUCACAUUAAAUAAUCAUAUGGAAUGCAACAUAAACAUUUAGAUUUAGUGCAUAUGGGCAUAAUAGUAUUAUGAGUUUAAACAAUUAACAAAAUUAAAAUCAAAUAUUUUAACUUUCUAGUUAGAUGGGGCCUAUAAUGCAAAUAUGAAAAGUUAAGGGUCAAAACCGUAAAUACUCAAAAGUAAAAAAUAUACUUUUCCAAGUUACAAAAUAGCCCCACAAGUGGAUAAAUCCACUAGGGGAGGCCGGCCACAUUGAGGUGAGAUGGGAAGUUUCACCCAUAAUGCAUUAAACCAUGUUAAAGUAGAAAAAAUUAAAUUUUGCUUGUCACUUGGUUUUGGCUUUAAAGACUUAGGUGAAAAGGGGUGAUGGAAAUCUCCUAGUCAAGUCUAGGAUUUAAUAAGUUUUUGAUAUGGCUAUGGAUGGUAUGAACAUCAUCCAAAACCACAAAACAAUGCAUGAAAACAAAAUAAAACCAUUUUCACCAAAAACCAAACCAUGAACACCAAGAACAAAACCAUGAACAUAUUUUCAAGAUUUGUAUAUUCUUGGUGAUUUUUCAAACCCAAAAACAAAAGUGACAAGAUUUCUACUUUCUAGCUUUAAAGUGUGAGUGUGUGAUUCAAAAAUAAAAACACAAACACUUAGCCAAAAUUCCCAUUUUUGCCGUGCCCUCCCUAAGAGUCAAAACCCCAAAAUUUGUUCUAAACUCAUUCUUCAUUCAUGCAUACAAAACACCUUUUGCAUACAUAUCUUUCUCAACUAUUGAUUCACAUUUUUCAACUAUUGAAAAACAAAAGAUAAACAUAUUUUGAAUGAAGCAAUAACAUGUCAUACAUAAUAUUAAAACCCAUAUGCAUAAAAUCCAAAAGGACACAUCAUAUAUAAACCUUUGGCUCUGAUACCACUUGAAGGGAAAUCUAUGAGAUUCAUGUGGGAUUUCUAAUGACUAGCAUGCAUAUACAAUUCAAAAUUUAUAUACUUAAGCAACGGAAGCAUGUUAUCAAUAAUAUCAAAACUAUAGUCAUGCAAAUCCCCUUCAAGGUUCAUAGGUUUAUAUAAGAUGCAUCAAAACAUUUAAGUGAAGAACAAAGUGUAGGAGUAGAUGUAUACCUCUUGAUCUAGAUUUUAGACCAAGGAUGGACCACCUCCAAGCCCUUUGUUCCUUGAACUCCUUGAGCCUAGCCUCCCUCCUUGCUUCCUCCACUUUGCUAGAAAUGAGUGCUCCUUAGUUCUCCUUUAGUCUCCAAAGAAGAAGACCUCUAAAGAUCCACACCCACUAGUGUAGUGAGAUGGAUGGAGGAAUAACCAAAAUGGUGAAAAGAUGAUUAGCUAAAAUCACCCUUAAGGUGGCCGGCCUUUGGUGUUGAAGAGAGAGUAAUUUUCUUUAUCUCUUUAGUUGUUUUGAACACCCAAAAACCCUCAUCAAAAAUAUCUCUAUAAAGUUCCUUUUAUAGACUAAAGAAACAAGUCAACAUUUGACCUUUCUCUCCCUCUCUUUGGCCGGCCUCUUUGUGUUGGUUUGGGCUUUGGGCUUUUAUUUAUUUCAAGUCAUCCAAUGCUUGAAUAAAAGCCCAAUGGGUUU